UACGAAGGGGGCUAGCGUUGCUCGGAAUGACUGGGCGUAAAGGGCGCGUAGGCGGCUUGCACCGUCAGAUGUGAAAUUCCUGGGCUUAACCUGGGGGCUGCAUUUGAUACGUGUGGGCUUGAGUUGCGGAAGAGGGUCGUGGAAUUCCCAGUGUAGAGGUGAAAUUCGUAGAUAUUGGGAAGAACACCGGUGGCGAAGGCGGCGACCUGGUCCGUGACU
rnacentral:rRNA from 1 species